ensembl:lncRNA
AAUUAUUUGUUUGCAAUCCGCCAUUAACCAAGAGAAGAAGAAGAAGAAAAAUUCACUUUACAAAAAUGGUAAAGCACAUCUCAGAGUGUCAGCUUCCCAGAAUUGUAGUAAUAUCAAAAUGCUUCAAAAGUUGUAGUAUCAGUAGUACUUCGGUGCUGUUGGUUGUGAGCAGACUGUGAGAGUACCACAUGUGCUGGACAGCAGAGAAAGGAAGCUUAUGAGUGAGAGGGAGAACAUAAGAAAGUCCGCUACUGCAUUUCUUCCACCAGAUCCAGUCUGUAUCCAAGUCAGAGGGUCACUGCAGUCACCCGGAUCCAGUACGUAUCCAGACCAGAUGGUGGAUCAGCACCUAGAAAGGACCUCUACAGCCCUGAUAGACAGCGGAGACCAGGACAACUAGAGCCCCAGAGAC